UACGACGGGGGCUAGCGUUGUUCGGAAUCACUGGGCGUAAAGCGCACGUAGGCGGAUUUGUAAGUCAGGGGUGAAAUCCCGGGGCUCAACCUCGGAACUGCCUUUGAUACUGCAAGUCUCGAGUCCGGAAGAGGUGAGUGGAAUUCCUAGUGUAGAGGUGAAAUUCGUAGAUAUUAGGAAGAACACCAGUGGCGAAGGCGGCUCACUGGUCCGGUACUGACGCUGAGGUGCGAAAGCGUGGGGAGCAAACAGG
rnacentral:rRNA from 1 species